rnacentral:misc_RNA from 1 species
AACGCACAUUGCACCGUUUACCUUUGGCUAACGGUAUGCCUGUUUGAGCGUCACUAUAAUAAUCUCUCUUGGCAAUAUUAUUAUUGUUUUGAGGGGAUUUGGAUAAUCCGAGGGUCUUGACGAAGAGUAUUCUCCGUUACGAUACACGGUUAUCUGAAAUAUAGUGACACUAGUCUGACGACGAGAUAAUAGUCUUGGUUACUACUCACUUUAUUGUGAUGUAAUCAUACUUGUCCGUUACGCUAAAUUCACACACCAUUAAGUUAGUGGGCUUAAUAACCCUCCUAAAUGGUUUGAAUGUAAUAGGCUUGUAGUACUAGUAUCGUUUGAGUUGACGGACUAUGACUGGAACUUGCUUUUAUUGUGAGUAAAGGUCGAUGUCAAUAUCCGGGAAACGAAAUAUAUAUAUCUCUCUUUCGAGUAAUAUUUUUCACCUCAACUUUUUGACCUCAAAUCAGGUAGGAAGACCCGCUGAACUUAA